rnacentral:rRNA from 1 species
CAGUAGCCGCGGUAAUACAGAGGGUGCAAGCGUUAAUCGGAAUUACUGGGCGUAAAGCGCGCGUAGGUGGUUUGUUAAGUUGGAUGUGAAAGCCCCGGGCUCAACCUGGGAACUGCAUCCAAAACUGGCAAGCUAGAGUACGGUAGAGGGUGGUGGAAUUUCCUGUGUAGCGGUGAAAUGCGUAGAUAUAGGAAGGAACACCAGUGGCGAAGGCGACCACCUGGACUGAUACUGACACUGAGGUGCGAAAGCGUGGGGAGCAAACAGGAUUAGAUACCCCAGUAGUCCCUGUCUCUUAUAU